CUUCAUCCCCAGAUGAUGACUAAUCUCCAUACCUAAUACUUCCCUUCCACUAGUAUCCAAGUAUCUUCAAGCUGACUUUCUCCAUUGUGCCUAUAUUAUCCCCUUGGUACUGCCAUUUUCAGGUGUAGAGUGUUCUCUUCCCAACUCCUCCUAAACUGAGAAACCACAAUGGCCUAGUGCAGGACACAGGCAAAGCCUGCCUGACCAACCGGAGCUGCCCUGUUUGUUUCCUGUCUGUGGGUCUUGAGCCCUUAGACCUCCUCUCUUGGAGUAGCCAUUAUCUUGGGACCACUUCCAGCACUGACGUUGAUGUUCUUCAUGGGAAAACAUUUGGUUUGUAUGGAAAAAAAGCCAGGCUGAUACCACAGUUGUGUACGUGCUAGUUCACUGCCCGCAUGCCUCUCUGUAUUUUUGCUGAUCAGGAGGCGUGUGCCAGUGAGCAGAACUGACUUGUCAUCCUGUGCCUGCAGCUAGCAGGCCAUCUCCCAGUGGCUGGGAGUCUGCUUGGUGCUGUGCCUGUGCAGCGCUACCUGCUCCUGUGCAGUUAUCCAGAGCCCAUCACUGGGGAGGGAGUCUCGGGGCACCUCCCAAACAUUGCUCACCACCACCGCCCUCAAGGAGAUCGUUGGCGGAGAUAGGGGAAUGCCUGCCCUGCUGCAACUGGUGCUGUGGCUGCCGUGUUAUUGCUGGCGACUGUGGAGGUAGACUGCACUGCCAAGUCUUUUCAUUGUGGUGUUCUGAUGACAAAGCUUAGAUUAAAACCUAUUAAAAAUACAAUAUAGUCAAAGUAAAACCAAUGUAAAUAUUUUAUGAUUAAGUAAUCAAAUGCUGUGUGCUGUGGAAUGGUGCAAUGCGUGCACAACAUGGCUGAUUGUAGUACUUCUUUGUCUGAGUUGGUCACAUGUAGGUUCAGUUUAACACUAAUGGUGAGGCCAAGCAUGAAGAAGAUGUGGGUAUCCUCACCUUCCGAUAGAUGUAGAGCUGCUUCGAAAAGGAGAUGUUCUCAUAGUGUACCAAAGGAAAUGGGUUAUGAGACUGAAUGCAGUUCUUGUACAUUUUGCCAAGUGUAAUGUUAGCUAUGAAGAUCAAUUUCACAGGUGGAAGAAUAAGAAAAGACAGCUACCUUGGAAAAAGUAAAUUCUCUGAUAAUGCUGCAGAGAAUAUAUGAUCUUAGCAGAAAGGAAUUUUAAAAGUCUGGGAAAAAACCUUAUUCUUUAGGCUCUGCCAAUAAUAAUAAUAAUUAAAAAAAAUAGAAGGAUCUUUAAAUAUGCCUAAUAAACUUUCAUAUUUGGGGCAGGAAAAGAAAUCAGUUGGCAGUGUGUUAGCCUGCUGGGAAGGUUGACUGCACAUACAGCUUAGAGCUCUGUUUGAACAGCAAGUAAGUCUCUGCAUACUCUGCAUUUGCUGGAAGUCUUGAAAGCAGAGCAUUAUGGUGCACUGCAAGGUAAGCAGAAGUAGUGAAUUAGUCUCCUUUUUGAACCAUGUAAAUGAAAAAGGACAUAACACAGCUCUGGCAUAAUUUGCUCUGAUGGACCCAGCCACCAUUUUAACUGGCACCCUUAUCUCACCAGGGAGAGGGAAGGGGAAGAGCUGUAAUUCCUGAGGCUCAAAAACUGCACCCUCUGUGUGGAUAUCUCGAAAAGCUGACAAAGACUUUUGGAAGCAGACUUCUGAAAAAAAAAUGGCUAUCUGCUCGUUUAACAGCAGGGUUGUCUUUUUACGCUCUAAUCUCUACAACAGGGUGAGGGGCAUGGAAAGCAGUAUUUCUGAAAUUAUCAACCUAAGCCAAUGAUGACUUGGUACAUUUGUGUGUGUUGCAUGUGUCUGUGCAUCUCCCACCCCCUCCCCAAGCAUGUAUGUGUAGAAGGCAGUCAGCUUGAACAACUACUGGAUGAAUUGAGACCAGUCGCUUGUGCUCAAGUGUCUUUGCUCAGUCGGUAGCUUCAGAUAAUGUUCUGGAUAUUGCUUUCUCACUCUGUUUUCCAACUGAAACCAAGGUGACGAUUCUUCAUUAAUCAUGGAGGCUACUGGGUGCCUUGCUGAGAUUUUGGGUUUUUUUUCUGCUGAGCUCCCAUGAGGAAUGCAACAAUUCUAAUAUAAGGGAGGCUUCCAGCAGCCCUUUACCCUUCAGCUCAAAGAGAGUCCUUAAGAACAUACGUCCCAGUAAUAGGAAGGACAAAUAAGAAGCAAUUUAGGAGCAAAAAAAAGGCAAUUCUAUUUACGCAUAUAAAGGUGGGUAUUUGUUUUAGACUUUCAGAUUUCCUCCCUUCUUCUGAUGGAAUUUUUGUUUUUGCUGGUCUUGAAACUGUCUUUGUCAUUCUUUCUUACUAUUUUCUUCUUUGCUCAGAUUUUCAUUUUCUUUGCAUAGUAAUAUUCCAUUUUUCUCCCCCUCUCUCCCCCCUCCCCCCCCCCCCACCUUCCCUUGCACUCUGGUUUUCUACAAUUUUCCUUUUCAAUCUUCUCCUCACACAUUCUCUACCCACUCCCUCCUGCCUCUCCCAUCUUCACCACACCUCGAGUCUCCAGCACAGCUCCAGCUCUCACAAAACAACAGCAAUCAUAUAACAAUUUACAACCAUUAGCCAAUUGAGUGUAACACCUCUCUACAAGGUAGGUAAUCAUUUACGAACGCUGCUAAGCUACUGCUGUUUGGUGUGACAGAUUGUUCAGCUGCUUCUGCUCUCUCAAAGGGCCCCAGACAACAAUAGUAAGGCUGUGAAAGCACAGGGUUGGGAUGAACAGCUAGAGCAGUGUGUGAGGAACUACAGACAUCUGCUGAGCUCUGAACUGUCUUUUUACUCCUGGUUUAGUGAGCAUUAAAUGUGUUGUGUGCCUCUAUUGUCAAAUUGGCUGCAUCUUGAGGGGAAAAAAAGAACAGAAGAAAAAGCAGACGAGAUGUCUGUGGCCCACUUAGAGCUCAUCAUGAAACACUUCAUAAAACAGGACGCAGCAACUGGUCUGUCUUCUUCGUCCUGUGACCACAAUGCUGUAAUCAUGUAAGCUAGACUGUGCUUAAGUAGGGAGAGGCCACUGUAUCUGCUGAAGGCAGUCAGUGAGUACAGAACGGCACGAUGCUACGUGGGGACUGCCAACCUGAAAUGCUGUGUGGCAUUUUUCCUAAAGGAAGACAUACAAGCCAGAGGUCUGCAAAGCACACAGACUCAUAGUGGAGCAGAGCUUCCAGAUGUGCUGUCCCUACAGGUACUGGUGAAUUGGGCCAGAUGUCCAUCUGAACCUUUAGGUAAGCACGCAGACAUUUCCACAAGUCUGGUCUUGUGCUGCUUUGCUAAGUGCUUUUGAAAGUCGCACCCAAUGUUAAAAAGAGAUUGAUGUGGGAGAUUAAGAUAAAUGCACAAAACACUUUCAUUUUCUUUAUUUUCAAUCGAUACUGUAUGAAUACAAAGUUUCUAGAAAGCUACAAAAAUUCUACCACUUUAUCAAGAAGGCAUCAAAAUGUGUCACUUUGCAAAGACAUGAAAACACCUGCAGUAACCGACACAAAAAUAGCAUUUUUAGAGUGAUGAAAUAAUUGCACUUAACUGUCAUGGAUAUUAAAGUUAUCACACAUAUGUACCGCGAAAGCUAGAAUACAUUUUUUUUUUUUUUUACAAAGCACUUUAUAAAAAAAUUCUCUGCACACAAAACCUAUAAUUUUCAUAUUACUAUCAUACUAAAGAUAAAUUCACUUUAAAGCCAACACUUAAAACAUUUUAAACAAAAAAAGGUACCAGUACCUACACACAGACAAUAACAAAUACAAGAAUACUGUACUGCCAAGAGGUUUGACUGAAACUCCUUUUGAAAGCUUCUGCAAAUAUGUUAAGAAAACAUUGGAGAACGUUCGGUGUUGUUUUUUUUUUUUUCAAAGAUCCUUCCCUCCCUGUCUAACCUAGAGGUACUUUAUCAUCAAAAGGCAAGUUCUACAUCAAAAGUUACCAGCAGCAGUACAAUAUUAAAGUAACCACUGACCAUAUAUGAAUAUGCUUAAGUCACAAACCCAUUUUAUACACAUUACACAAAUAAACAUAAAGUGAGAAUUCCAUUAAGUCAUUUACAAAUGUGAACAAAUGCACAUGGCAAAGAAAAAAAAAAAAAAGAAAAAGAAAAAAAAAAAAAGAAAAUUCAAACAAAACAAAA